UAACAACGAAAUAGAAAAAUUAAAACUAAACAAAAAAUCUAAAGAAAACGACUGAAAAAUAAACGAAAUUAAGCAAAUGAAAAAAAGAAAAAUAAGUUACUGAACAAAAAAAAUUAAUGAAAAAAGAAACGAGAAGAAGAAGCAAGCAAGAAGAUAUUUUUUUUGGAUUAAAACAAUCUACUACCAGCAGCAGAACAUUAGAACGAUACAUCACAAGAACAGUAACAACAACAAUUAAGAAAAAACAAUUUAUAGCUAAGAGUGCAAAAAAAUAAGAAAAAAUCUAAAA